rnacentral:rRNA from 1 species
GACGAACGCUGGCGGCGUGCUUAACACAUGCAAGUCGAACGGAAAGGCCCUGCUUUUGUGGGGUGCUCGAGUGGCGAACGGGUGAGUAACACGUGAGUAACCUGCCCUUUACUUUGGGAUAACUUCAGGAAACUGGGGCUAAUACCGGAUAGGAGCUCGUGCUGCAUGGUGGGGGUUGGAAAGUUUCGGCGGUUGGGGAUGGACUGGCGGCUUAUCAGCUUGUUGGUGGGGUAGUGGCUUACCAAGGCUUUGACGGGUAGCCGGCCUGAGAGGGUGACCGGCCACAUUGGGACUGAGAUACGGCCCAGACUCCUACGGGAGGCAGCAGUGGGGAAUAUUGCACAAUGGGCGGAAGCCUGAUGCAGCAACGCCGCGUGCGGGAUGACGGCCUUCGGGUUGUAAACCGCUUUCGCCUGUGACGAAGCGUGAGUGACGGUAAUGGGUAAAGAAGCACCGGCUAACUACGUG